GAUGUGGCUAGGUAACAAGUCGUAUAAAAGCUCCAAUCCACAUUUUCAAAUUAGGUAGUACACAUUCAGUCGACACCAUGAAAUUCUUGUUGUUCCUUGUUGCCUUGGUUGCGAUUUUGUUCUCUUCGGCAAUUGCGCAAGUGCCUUGCGGAGGACUAUUUGCAUGCCAAAUUGGCUGCCCGGUUGGCGGCAAUAAUGCUUUUGGAGUGUGUCCUUACGGCCAGAUCUGCUGCCCUCUUGGAGUAGGAAAGUAGGACAGAGUGAUGUCAACCAAUCAGUUAUUAUAUAAUAUAAACUCCGAAACAAUGUUAUCAUUAUCAUCAAAUAACUGAGCUCAAAUGUAUAAAAUAGAUUUGAUUUAAAUAGG